rnacentral:rRNA from 1 species
AACGAACGCUGGCGGCAGGCUUAACACAUGCAAGUCGAACGGGCGUAGCAAUACGUCAGUGGCAGACGGGUGAGUAACACGUGGGAACCUUCCUCGUAGUACGGAACAACUCAGGGAAACUUGAGCUAAUACCGUAUACGUCCGAGAGGAGAAAGAUUUAUCGCUAUGAGACGGGCCCGCGUCCGAUUGGGUAGUUGGUGGGGUAACGGCCUACCAAGCCGACGAUCGGUAGCUGAUCUGAGAGGAUGAUCAGCCACACUGGGACUGAGACACGGCACAGACUCCUACGGGAGGCAGCAGUGGGGAAUCUUGGACAAUGGGCGCAAGCCUGAUCCAGCCAUGCCGCGUGGAUGAUGAAGGCCUUAGGGUUGUAAAAUCCUUUCGCCGAGGACGAUAAUGACGGUACUCGGAGAAGAAGCUCCGGCUAACUUCGUGCCAGCAGCCGCCGCCGUAA